GAUGAACGCUAGCGAUAGGCUUAACACAUGCAAGUCGAGGGGCAGCAUGGUCUUAGCUUGCUAAGACUGAUGGCGACCGGCGCACGGGUGCGUAACGCGUAUGCAACUUGCCUCACAGAGGGGGAUAACCCGUCGAAAGACGGACUAAUACCGCGUACACUUGGGAUAGGGCAUCCUGACCCAAGGAAAUGAAAUUCGCUGUGAGAUAGGCAUGCGUCCCAUUAGCUAGUUGGUGAGGUAACGGCUCACCAAGGCGACGAUGGGUAGGGGAACUGAGAGGUUGAACCCCCACACUGGUACUGAGACACGGACCAGACUCCUACGGGAGGCAGCAGUGAGGAAUAGUGGUCAAUGGGCGAGAGCCUGAACCAGCCAAGUCGCGUGAAGGAUGACUGUCUUAUGGAUUGUAAACUUCUUUUAUACGGGAAUAACAAGAGUCACGUGUGGCUCCCUGCAUGUACCGUAUGAAUAAGCAUCGGCUAACUCCGUG
rnacentral:rRNA from 1 species